rnacentral:rRNA from 1 species
GAAUUCAACUCCUACGGGAGGCAGCAGUGGGGAAUUUUGGACAAUGGGCGCAAGCCUGAUCCAGCAAUGCCGCGUGCAGGAAGAAGGCCUUCGGGUUAUAAACUGCUUUUGUACGGAACGAAACGGCUCUGGUUAAUACCUGGGGCUAAUGACGGUACCGUAAGAACAAGCACCGGCUAACUACGUGCCAGCAGCCGCGGUAAUACGUAGGGUGCAAGCGUUAAUCGGAAUUACUGGGCGUAAAGCGUGCGCAGGCGGUUUUGUAAGACAGGCGUGAAAUCCCCGGGCUCAACCUGGGAAUGGCGCUUGUGACUGCAAAGCUGGAGUGCGGCAGAGGGGGAUGGAAUUCCGCGUGUAGCAGUGAAAUGCGUAGAUAUGCGGAGGAACAUCGAUGGCGAAGGCAAUCCCCUGGGCCUGCACUGACGCUCAUGCACGAAAGCGUGGGGAGCAAACAGGAUUAGAAACCCGGGUAGUCCAGGCGUU